rnacentral:rRNA from 1 species
GAUGAACGCUGGCGGCGUGCUUAACACAUGCAAGUCGAACGGAAAGGCCCUGCUUUUGUGGGGUGCUCGAGUGCCGCACGGGUGAGUAACACGUGUGUAACCUGCCCUUGUCUUUGGGAUAACUUCACGAAACUGGGGCUCAUACCGGAUAGGAGCUCCUGCUGCACGGUGGGGGUUGGAAAGUUUCGGCGUUUGGGGAUGGUCUGGCGGCUUAUCAGCUUGUUGGUGGGGUAGUGGAUUACCAAGGCUUCGAAGGGUAGCCCGCCUUUGAGGGGGACCAGCCACAAUAGGACUAAGGUAGGGCGCAGGCGGCAACAGGAGGCAACGGGGGGAAGUAUUGCACAGUGGGCCGAAGCCUGAUACAACAGCGCCCGGUGCGGGAUGACGGCUUUCGGGGUAUAAACCGCUUUCGCCUGAGACGAAGCGUUAGUGACGGUAAUGAGUAAAGAAGCACCGGCUAACUACGUG